GUUCCGUAGGUCGAUUGGCGAACAUACGGACUUGUAAUCCGCAGGUCCUCGGUUCGAGCCCGAGAGGGGGCACCA
rnacentral:tRNA from 1 species